rnacentral:lncRNA from 1 species
GCAGGUUCUCAGCUACAGUAGGAUCUAAGCAGGGUCUCAGCUGAGGUCUCAGCUGGGGUCUCAGCAGGGUCUCGGCUAGGGUCUCAACAGGGUCGCAGCUAGGGUCCAGGCAGGGUCUCAGCUAGGGUUUCAGCAGGUUCUCAGCUACAGUAGGGUCUCAGCAAGGUCUCAGCUGGGGUCUCAGCAGGGUCUCAGCUGGGGUCUCAGCUGGGCUCUCAGUCUCAGUAGGUUCUCAGCUACAGUAGGGUCUCAGCAGGUUCUCAGCUAGGGUCUCAGCAGAGUCUCAGCUAGGGUCUCAGCAGGGUCUCAGCUAGGGUCUCAGCUAGGGUCUCAGCAGGGUCUCAGCUGGAGUCUCAGCAGGGUCUCAGCUAGGGUCUCAAUUAGGGUCUCAGCAGGGUCUCAAUUGGGGUCUCAGCUAGGGUCUCAGCUAGGGUCUCAGCUGAGGUCUCAGGAGUUUCUCAGCAGGGUCUAAGCAGGGUCUCAGCUGGGGUCUCAGCAGGGUCUCAGUAGGUUCUCAGCUACAGUAGGGUCUCAGCAGGGUCUCAAUUGGGAUCUCAGCUAGGGUCUCAGCUAGGGUCUCAGCUGAGGUCUCAGGAGUUUCUCAGCAGGGUCUAAGCAGGGUCUCAGCUGGGGCCUCAGCAGGGUCUCAGCAGGGUCUCAGCUGGGGUCUCAACAGGGUCUCAGCAAGGUCUCAGCAGGGUCUCAGCUAGGGUCUCAGCAGAGUCUCAACUAGGGUCUCAACUAGGGUCUCAGCUAGGGUCUCAGCAGCGUCUCAGCUAGGGUCUCAGCUAGGGUCUCAGCAGCGUCUCAGCUAGGGUCUCAGAGAGGGUCUCAGCUAGGGUCUCAACAGGGUCUCAGCUAGGGUCUCAGCUAGGGUCUCAGCUAGGGUCUCAGCUAGGGUCUCAACAGGGUCUCAACAGGGUCUCAGCUGGGGUCUCAGCAAGGUCUCAGCUAGGUUCCAGGCAGGGUCUCAGCAGGGUCUAAGCAGGGUCUCAGCUGGGGUCUCAGCAGGGUCUCAGUAGGUUCUCAGCUACAGUAGGGU